rnacentral:rRNA from 1 species
UACGUAGGGUGCAAGCGUUGUCCGGAAUUAUUGGGCGUAAAGAGCUCGUAGGCGGCUUGUCGCGUCGUCCGUGAAAACCUGCAGCUCAACUGCAGGCUUGCGGUCGAUACGGGCAGGCUAGAGUUCGGUAGGGGAGACUGGAAUUCCUGGUGUAGCGGUGAAAUGCGCAGAUAUCAGGAGGAACACCGGUGGCGAAGGCGGGUCUCUGGGGCCGAUACUGACGCUGAGGAGCGAAAAGCGUGGGGGAGCGAACAGG